UUGAUUUUAGUUAUUUGUGAACGUACUACGAACAACAAAAAAUAUUAUAGUCAAAAAAAAUUAAAUCA
rnacentral:misc_RNA from 1 species